rnacentral:snoRNA from 1 species
CCAUGAAUAUUCUUGCUGUCCUGAUUUUGUAAUAAUCGGGGUAGGCUAAACAUUUGCUAUAUUAACCAUGCAUGUGUCCCCAGACCUAGUUCUUCCCUAGGUCUGGUUUUAUCAAUGCUGGUGAUAAAC